rnacentral:rRNA from 1 species
UACGUAGGGGGCAAGCGUUGUCCGGAUUUAUUGGGCGUAAAGAGCGUGUAGGCGGCCAUACAGGUCAGCUGUGAAAACUCGAGGCUCAACCUCGAGACGUCGGUUGAAACCGUAUGGCUAGAGUCCGGAAGAGGAGAGUGGAAUUCCCGGUGUAGCGGUGAAAUGCGUAGAUAUCGGAAGGAACACCAGUGGCGAAAGCGGCUUCCUGGUCCAGCACCGACGUUCAGGCACGAAAGCGUGGGGAGCAAACAGG